UACGUAGGGUGCGAGCGUUGUCCGGAAUUAUUGGGCGUAAAGAGCUCGUAGGCGGUGUGUCGCGUCGGCCGUGAAAACCUGGGGCUUAACUCUGGGCGUGCGGUCGAUACGGGCAUCACUGGAGUUCGGCAGGGGAGACUGGAAUUCCUGGUGUAGCGGUGAAAUGCGCAGAUAUCAGGAGGAACACCGGUGGCGAAGGCGGGUCUCUGGGACGGUACUGACGCUGAGGAGCGAAAGCGUGGGGAGCGAACAGG
rnacentral:rRNA from 1 species